rnacentral:rRNA from 1 species
GUACAGCGUUAUAUUUUUGGAUAGAUCAUAUUGACAAAAAAGUUUGCGACCUCGAUGUUGGAUUAGGAUACUUUUUUAAUGAAGAUAUUAAAAUAAGAAGUUUGUUCAACUUUUAAAUUCCUACAUGAUCUGAGUUUAGACCGAUGAGAAUCAGGUUGGAUUCUAUCUUAAUAAAAAACAAAUUUUAUUUAGUACGAAAGGAAUUUUAAAAUCUAAUUUUUAGUUUUAUUUAUUUAUUUUAUUUGCAUCAAUUUUUGUAAUU